AACCAUAGUCAAAUUUAAAAUGUUAUUAACUGUGAUUUAUUCUCACAUUUAUAAUAUUUAAAUCAAGCAUAAUUUACCCAUCCCCACAUUCCCCAAUUCACAGAAAAAUGUAUUACAGUCCAUCUGUGCAACAUGUUGGGUGCACAUUCCAACCAGAGCACCACAGAUAUAAAACGAUGCUCUAACCUCCCAGUUACACACUUUUGAGUGCCUGUUGGUUUUGCAUAAAGAAUAUAUGCUGGUGUGACACCAAUCAAUUACAUUUUAGAUUUAAACAUGACUGCAUUGUGUUUAUUAGUUCACUUAACUUAGUUGCUUUAUUUCCCUGGAACUACUUAAUGCAAUAAGUUUAUCAGGUGAAACCGGAUAUGACGCACCGGGUAUUACGCAAUACAUCGUGAAGGCACAUUGUGUUUCAAUGGCGUCUCAGGUAAUGUGAAGCUUUACAAAAUCUUUUUCCAUAUGUCUAAUUGCAUGCUAGUCAUGAUGUUUAUCUUAUUAUAUUGUUUAAUAUAGCUCUUUAGUUGAAUAAUAUUCAAGUUUUAUUGCUGUACAUGCUUUAUUUGUUUAAAAAUGCUAACGCUAACGGCGGACCUGCUUAUAGUGAUUUAUUUAUUAACAUCUUUUCAGAGUUUCUGUGAAUCAUAUUAAAGUCUUGAGGCAGAUUUUAAUAGAUUGCUGUUGGCUGACUGUAUAUUAAGUCCGGUUGCGCUGUGUGUGAUAACGUUGCACUGCCGUGGUGCUAGCUAGUGCUAAGCUAGUCAAGUUCAACAGCCAGUAUUCUCAACUUGUGGCAGUAAGAUUCUUCCCCGAAAGGUAAAAAUGGCUUAAAUUACUUAAUGCAGAAGUAUAUUAGAAGAAAAUAAAAAGAUGUGUAAUAUUUGCGGUGCCAGUGCAUUAAAAAACAUGAGCACAUAAGCUAGCUAGCUAAGAUGUGAGCAGGCAGCUCGAGCCUGAGGGGAACUUCAUGCUUUUCGUUUGGCGCUCACGUUCUGCACAAACUUAAAAACAAAAUGAUUCUGUAACGUUAGUAUCAUUACAAACCUGAGUUUUGUGACUGUUAUCCUGGAAAGCACACACAUGUGAACAGUAUUGGAUAAUCAAUGAAUUUGUAAUGUUAAAGUAUUUACUAUAGAAAUAAUAUUUUAGUUAUUUACAACAAAAUAAUUGAUGUUUUGUAUCUUCUGUUUACAGAUGGUUGGAAAUGUGUAUUUGCAGUUGGACUGACCUUUUACUGUUUAGGAUUCCUCCAAUCACGCAAUACCAUCAGCGCUAGGAGGGUGAAGGAUGGUGAUAUGGCUGCAACUGAACGGGUGAUUGAGGAGACUGUUCUGGGGAUCUAUGUGACUAGAGUUGAGGGAGCUGAAGCCAUGGACCCCCCUGCCAAUACUGGAGUGGUAUUAGGUGGUGUGGUUCUAGAAGACUUGGGCAGUGUGUUCCUUGCCUUUGCAGUUCGGGCUGAUUUAUGCCUUAUAUAUUUAUAACCUUAUGAUUUAGAACUUGAGUUACCCUCCUACAUUCAGAUACACUUUUGAUGUUCUCCACAAACUGUUUCUGGAACUAGAUGCUAACAAACUGUCUCAUAAAGCUCAAUUACUAAAUACCAAGCUGUUCAGUGAGAUGUAGUCCAUACUGAGUAUUACACUUGUGAUGUACUGUUUAUCAACAUUCCACUGUGGUUGCACUUUCUGAAAACUUUAAUGUUGGCACUGACUUUUGUACAUAAUUCAGAUUUAUAAGUGUUUCAUGCCCAUGUUUUGUAGACAUUUCACUUAACUGUGUGCUGCUUUGUUAAACAUUUUCCAUUGAAAUGAAUUCUGAUUGCACUUAUUGUAUGCUGUAUUGUGUUAGACAUCUGAUUCUUACACUGAUCAGCCAUAACAUUAAAACCUCCUUGUUUCUACA